rnacentral:lncRNA from 1 species
CUCAUAUAAACCUGCGCCCGCGCCGCUCAACUCAUUGCCCGAGAAGACGUACGCGUGUUUACACGACUGUGCUUUAUAAAAACCCGCGCGGUGUUACGAACUUUUGUGUUCUGUGCUGUCAUGGAUAUUGUCACCCUGGACCCUACUGGACUUUACUAAAUUACAAUGGAGUUCACCCUCGACCCGACCGGCCAGUAUUGAUUCAUACGGUCUGUAUAAGAAUCCUAUUAGAAAUGGAUAAAGUUUUGGAUCCUACUGGGCAAUAUUAAAAACAACAAUGAUCGGCUUAGACCCGACAGAGAUCUACUAGCGAUCAACAUGUGUUGCGGACGACGCAGAAUUUUCACAGGCUCCAGUCCGGGGGAAACAUCGUCCUGUAGAAAAAGAAGGUUUUGGACCGAUUACCGUUUUGACUGAUCAAUAACAACACGCGCCUGUACAUAGAAUGAAUAAAGAGGGACGUGACAAGGUCAUCGGAUGGAAAUCAGCUGACUGCCUGCCGCGUGCAAUCCGGAAAUGUAUAGAAAUAACAUCGGCGGACAAAAAUCUCUCACCACAUGCAUCAUAGCUCCGGUUUCAACAUUCCAAAUUUGAACAUGACACUGUAUCCGGAAUACAGCAUCCUUCAUCUUCAUCGAGUAUUCUCAUUCAUCGUCAAAGCAUAAUAUCUAAUCUACUUUAAAUACUCAUUAGCUUAUAAGAUGAUAUGACUGAUUAUUUCUCGAGUAUGCACAUAUCUCUUCAUGCAUUUGUUUAUUUUAAUAAUUAUUUUUACUUUUAUUUGUAAAGCGACGUAACUUCUAACACACACUUUUUUUUACCAGUUCGAAAUUAUUUUAAAAUUAACAAUAUAAUGUGCAACAUAAGGUACAAAGUUACUUUUGCCCAUUCCAAAGUAAUAAACUUAAAAAAGUGUGUCGUAGAAGUAACCUCAUAAAUAGGCUAAGACAAGUAAGAAAUGACAAGCAAAAAGAGGCAAAGGGUAUUUUGAAUGGUUUUCUGCAUUUUGACUGUACAUUUUUGGGGAACCUUCAAAAAUAGACCGUAUAAACAUUAGUCGUAGGAAUUUAGAUUCGUUUAAAAAUAAUUUCGGCUCCUUUAUAUACGUAACUUACAACAUAAUUCGAGUUACCAUUUUAUGACCUUCAGCUUGACAAAAUGUAAAUAAAGUUGCAACACUUUUCCUGCGCUUCGUCUGUACUCUGUGCUAGAAUAUUAUCAAUUAAACUUAAGUAAUUAUAAAUAUGGUAUACUUUUAUAUAUGUAGAUAUAUUAUAGAUAAGACUGCCUUAAUUGUAAGCUACUCAUUUUCUCGUGGAUUUUUUUAAAAACUAGCUGCUAUGCAUAGAACAUAGCGCUUCAGAUUAAAACACUUUUUUCAAAUAUAUUUGAAUACUUUUAUUACUUUUCUUUUUAUUCUACUAUGUUUUAUACGUAGAUAUAAAAAAGUAAGUUCUAGUAUAAUUAUUGACUUGGAAUAUUAUUUAAUGUUGCUAUAGGUGUAUAUUAAUUAGUUUAAGGGUUACCCUAAGCAGUGUGGCCAGUUUAUCAAAAAUCCUGCGUCGCGAACACUCCGCAUUGUUGCCUACUAAGACUGAAAAUUUAUUAUCUUCGGCCUUAUUUUAUGGAAAAAAUUAAAUCGCCCAGAAAGGAUCCCACCCUAGAAUAUUUUGAUUUUUUUAUAAUUAAAUAAUAAUUAAGUGAUCAUGGCAUAUUAUUUUAGGGGAUAAUAAAGAUGUUUUAUUAAAUAUUAUUAAAAGGC